rnacentral:rRNA from 1 species
CAGUCGCCGCGGGAACACGAGGGGGGCAAGCGUUGUUCGGAAUUAUUGGGCGUAAAGGGCGCGUAGGCGGUUUGGCAAGUUUCGUGUGAAAUCUUCGGGCUCAACUCGAAGUCUGCACGGAAAACUGCCGGGCUUGAGUAUGGGGGAGGUGAGUGGAAUUUCCGGUGUAGCGGUGAAAUGCGUAGAGAUCGGAAGGAACAUCUGUGGCGAAGGCGACUAUCUGGGCCAACACUGACACUGAGGCACGAAAGCGUGGGGAGCAAACAGGAUUAGAUACCCCGGUAGUCCCUGUCUCUUAUAC